GAUGAAGAACGCAGCGAAAUGCGAUACGUAGUGUGAAUUGCAGAAUUCAGUGAAUCAUCGAAUCUUUGAACGCACAUUGCACCUCUCGGUAUUCCGGGAGGUAUGCCUGUUCGAGCGUCAUUUGUACCCUCAAGCUCUGCUUGGUGUUGGGUGUUUGUUCCGCCUCUGUGUGUGAACUCGCCUCAAAACAAUUGGCAGCCGGCGUACUUGUUUCGGAGCGCAGCACAUUUUGCGAUCCAGAUCAACGUACAGCGGCAUCCAAGAAGCCUUAUUUAACGCUCUUGACCUCGGAUCAGGUAGGGAUACCCGCUGAACUUAAGCAUAUCAAUAAGCGAAGA
rnacentral:misc_RNA from 1 species